rfam:Moniliophthora roreri strain MCA 2952 kmer90.96320, whole genome shotgun sequence.
GGGGGUAUAGCUCAGCUGGGAGAGCAGCAGACUGAAGUUCAGGUGAACCAAUCUUAUGCACCUCAUUCUGAAGGUCCCGCGUUCGAUCCGCGGUACCCCCA